AAAUUAUAGAGGCUCGAAAAAAGGAAUGGAAUUUUCAAAAUAAAUUGGUGGUAGAGUGGAAAAUCCUACAAUUAAAACUGCCGUCAAUAUUUAGCCAUAUUCUAUAUUGUCAAAGAAGAACUUCCUCCACACUGGGAUUGAGAUUUGUUUUUUGGAGUUGACAAACAUUGUAUUGCGACAGAUAGUGACGCACAUUAUGAUGACAAUGUACCAUACCUACUUUGCUGAGUUUUUCUGCACAUACCUGCAAGUACUGAGGAAUAAAGCGAAGUGCGCACUGUCUUCACUCGACUUCAGAACGACAAACACUAGUAAUCUUUGGCCGAUUGAGGUUGAUACAAAUUAAUUGUGGUUUGCUGCAAUUAUCUGGAAUCUGGAUCGAUGAUGUGCUGUCUUCAAUUCUUCUUUUCUUAAAAUUUUUAUUUUGAGUUGUUAACCGGUUGAAGGAUAUUAGAGAAGUGACUAUAAUUUUACAUACACUACUUUCAUCCUUCUUAAUUACACAAUUAUCAUUUUAAACGAUUUAGCUUAGUUUUCAUUAGCUGUGUUAAGAUCUUCUAUAUCAAAAUUCGUCUGCACCAUCGCUGGAGAUCAUUAGCUUACCAUCACAUCAGAUGCUCCCAUGUUUAAUGUUUUCUUCAAUAUGUAUUCUUUCUGUUACCCCGCUGUUAUAAUUUGUAUAUAUAUAUAUAUAUAUCAGUAGUUAAUAUAUUUGUUCCUUCUGCGGUAGACACUGUAUUUUGGGUUAGGUUUUUGGAGUUGUUUGUCUUUGAUGUGCUCUUCCUUUAUGUUUUAGUAUUCCACUUAAAAUAAAAUACUUUGACAACAUUCAAAUUUUUCCCUGAGUAUUCUCAAAGCGUGUAUUACAAUUUUUCUAGAAACCAUAUCAACCAUAAGCAACCAUAUCUUUUAUGUCUAUAAGACUUUAAGAUAGUGGAAUGAAUAUUGCUACUAUAUAUCAAAAAUUCCUCAUUGUUUUUAUCUCAUAAUAGGUGACCCUAUGCACUUCGUUUCCCUCAAAAAAUGACAACCCUUAAAAAAAUUGUGAUUGUUUAAAUCCUUUUGGGUGUAACUCGCAGCAGUAUGUGUAAUUCAGCCACCUUGGUAGGCAAUCGGAUCGCGGACAUUGUCCAACAGCAUAUCAAGUAGAUAUGUAUAUCUAAUGUUUAAAAUGUCGGACCACAGUGUUUGUUAUUGAAAUCCUCAGCGACGGCUUGACCGAAACGAAAUUAUGUUUUAAUUAUUAAUAGAUGUAUAAAUCUCUAAUGAAAUGGAUCAAGUAUGAUAGAGAAAACAGGAAUAAACAUUUAUCAGACUUAAUGGAAUACUUUCGGUUACCAAUUGUUUCCCAUAUAUUUUUUGAGUGAACUGUUGAUAAAGAACCAGUUUUGAAGUUAAAUAACAAUUGUAACCAUAUAAUAUUUUUACAUUUGAUUUUCUUCUUUUUCCAAAAUAUAUUAUGUUAUUAGGUAGAAAAUAUUUAGAUGAAGUUAUACUGUUCAUACGGACCUUGUUACUAAGUUAGAAGCACCAAAUUUUACUUAUUGCAGUAUGUUUUAAUUAUAAGUAAAAAAGCCAAACACCAUCUUCCAACCUAAUCUUAAUUAUUAAUAAAAUUUAACUUCUUAGACCCUGGCUGUUGAACUAGGCAAUUAAUAAUACCCUCUAUGUGCUUUCCAAAUUCCAUUAUAGUAAUAACGCUCAAAACAUUUUGAUGGUUAAAUUAAUGGGUCUUGUAAAUAGAUUUAAUAUUGAUUUGU
rnacentral:lncRNA from 1 species